rnacentral:rRNA from 1 species
ACUGUAGGCUGCAACUCGCCUACACGAAGCUGGAAUCGCUAGUAAUCGCGGAUCAGCACGCCGCGGUGAAUACGUUCCCGGGCCUUGUACACACCGCCCGUCACACCAUGAGAGUCUGUAACACCCAAAGCCGGUGGGAUAACCUUUAUAGGAGUCAGCCGUNUAAGGUAGGACAGAUGAUUAGGGUGAAGUCGUAACAAGGUAGC